GGGUAUUUUUUGCAAUUUUACGCAAUGAAAUUGCGGGAACUUGCAAAAACUGCGGUUUGAUGAAAAAGUACUCAUCUUGUCGCGUAAUUACAUCACUUCAUAACGUUUCCAUGGCAACAAGGGAAAAUGGCUGCUCCUGUGUGAAGUAAACGCAACAUUUUUCAACUGUCUGCUAAGAUAUUUGUAACUUUUAUCAUGAAAUUAUGCAAGACCUGCAUUAUUUUGCGUGGAAAUCGGCAAUUUAUGCGGCGAAAGCGCGGCGUAUUUGAAGAACUGCAGCCCCCGCAUAAAUCUGAGGACC